GUGCCAGCCGCCGCGGUAAUACGGAGGGUGCUAGCGUUGUUCGGAAUUACUGGGCGUAAAGAGCUUGUAGGCGGCUUGCUCAGUCCGAUGUGAAAGCCCCCGGCUCAACCGGGGAAGUGCAUUGGAUACUGGCGAGCUUGAGUAUGGGAGAGGAGAGCGGAAUUCCCGGUGUAGAGGUGAAAUUCGUAGAUAUCGGGAGGAACACCAGUGGCGAAGGCGGCUCUCUGGACCAAUACUGACGCUGAGAAGCGAAAGCGUGGGGAGCAAACAGGAUUAGAUACCCCCGUAGUCC
rnacentral:rRNA from 1 species